rnacentral:misc_RNA from 1 species
CAUAUACUUAAUAGUAUGGUUACAUACAUAGGUAUCAUAGUGUGAUAGAUACCAUAGUUUUCUUCGGUUUUUAACUUUAUAGGUUGCUGCAUAGAGAUUCUAGUAUUAAUUUCUUGAAGGUUUUUUAAGCUUACUGAGUUAAGGGUGAGUGCAGGCUGUAAGCUUUGAUCGGCAGUGGUGUAAUUAGGCAUAUUCAAUAAUUUCAGCGCCUGUCCUUUUAA